rnacentral:rRNA from 1 species
AAUGAACGUUGGCGGCGUGGAUUAGGCAUGCAAGUCGAACGAAUCCCGGUAGCAAUACUGGGGGAAGUGGCGAAAGGGGCAGUAAGGCAUGGGUAACGUACCCUGGGGACUGGGAUAGCCCCUCUAACGAGGGGGUAAUACCGGGCGAUGUAGCGGGGGGGCAUCUCCUUGCUACGAAAUGAAUUUCGCCUCAGGAGCGGCCCAUGUGAUAUUAGCUAGUUGGUGAGGUAACGGCUCACCAAGGCCAAGAUGUCUAGCGGGUGUGAGAGCACGACCCGCGCCACUGGCACUGUGACACUGGCCAGACUCCUACGGGAGGCUGCAGUCGAGGAUCUUCGGCAAUGGGCGCAAGCCUGACCGAGCGACGCCGCGUGUGCGAUGAAGGCCUUCGGGUUGUAAAGCACUGUCGAGGGGGAGGAAGGCGCAAGCUUGACCGAUCCCUGGAGGAAGCACGGGCUAAGUUCGUGCCAGCAGCCGCCGUAAUAC